GAUAUCACUUCAUAAUCUCUAGUGACUUAAACUUAAGCUUUAAUAUCAUUUUGUCAUAUCAUAAUCACUUAUCUCAUAAUCCCCAAAUGAUCAUAACUUGAGCUUUGAUACCAUUCUGUCAUAUCCUAAUCACUUGUAUCAUAAUCUUUAAUGAUCAUAACCUAAGCUCUGAUACCAUUCUGUCACGCUCUGAACCCAACACCCA
rnacentral:lncRNA from 1 species